UACGUAGGGUGCGAGCGUUAUUCGGAAUUACUGGGCGCAAAGCGUGCGCAGGCGGUUUUGUAAGUCAGAUGUGAAAUCCCCGGGCUUAACCUGGGAACUGCGUUUGUGACUGCAAGACUCGAGUACGGCAGAGGGGGGUGGAAUUCCACGUGUAGCAGUGAAAUGCGUAGAGAUGUGGAGGAACACCGAUGGCGAAGGCAGCCCCCUGGGUCGAUACUGACGCUCAUGCACGAAAGCGUGGGGAGCAAACAGG
rnacentral:rRNA from 1 species